GACGAACGCUGGCGGCGUGCUUAACACAUGCAAGUCGAACGGAAAGGCCCUGCUUUUGUGGGGUGCUCGAGUGGCGAACGGGUGAGUAACACGUGAGUAACCUGCCCUUGACUUUGGGAUAACUUCAGGAAACUGGGGCUAAUACCGGAUAGGAGCUCCUGCUGCAUGGUGGGGGUUGGAAGGUUUCGGCGGUUGGGGAUGGACUCGCGGCUUAUCAGCUUGUUGGUGGGGUAGUGGCUUACCAAGGCUUUGACGGGUAGCCGGCCUGAGAGGGUGACCGGCCACAUUGGGACUGAGAUACGGCCCAGACUCCUACGGGAGGCAGCAGUGGGGAAUAUUGCACAAUGGGCGGAAGCCUGAUGCAGCAACGCCGCGUGCGGGAUGACGGGCUUCGGGUUGUAAACCGCUUUCGCCUGUGACGAAGCGUGAGUGACGGUAAUGGGUAAAGAAGCACCGGCUAACUACGUG
rnacentral:rRNA from 1 species